CAGCCCCCUCGGGCAGGCACGGCACUGACCACCCGCUCCCUGUGCAGAGAUGGCCCUGGACGAGAACUGUGCCGAGACCCAGGACGGGGAGCUGGAUGGGCUGUGGACCACCAUUUCCAUCUUCAUCACGCUCUUCCUGCUCAGCGUGUGCUACAGCGCCACCGUCACCCUCUACAAGGUGAAAUGGAUCUUCUCCUCGGUGGUGGAGCUGAAGCGGACGAUCGUCCCCGACUACAGGAACAUGAUCGGGCAGGCAGCCUAGGGCCACUCCCCCUGGGCGGGUGUCCAGGGCCGCCCCAGACUGUAGACGGCAUCCACGUCCAGCCGUUCAUGCUGCUCAGCCGCCAUGCAGACCUGCUCCUCUGCUUCUGACCUCACCAAAUGCUGACCUACUGCCCUGUGACCUCAUGGCCACCACUACCUGCACCUCGCCUUCUGGCCUCAAGCCACCGGAGGCUGCAUCCUGCCCCCUGACGCCCAGUGGAGAACAGAGGAGACGGCAGUUGUAACCCUGAGCAGAGCUACUGGAGGCCCAUGGGCCCACGUACAGCAGCCAUUAAGAGUUGAUGGGGCCAUGUGGACGCUGCAGCAUUGGGGCGGAGAAUCCCUCACCAGGACGGCCCCAGGUUGGCAUGUCGGUCACCAUGGACGAUGUGGAGGGCCGGCCUUCCCAUGGCCGUCUGGGCAGGGACAGGCCAGCAUGCAAACAGCAUCUCUGCCGGGCUCCAGGGCGCGGGGUGCCGGGAGGAGACGCCUGGUUUCAGAUCCUGGAGUGGGAGCAUCUGCCCCAAGCCCCGGAGGCCUCGGGGCCAUCGUCCACCAGCAGGGAAGCUUCUGGGUGUACCCCUCACGGUCACUCAGAUGACAGCCACCUGAGUAGACUGCUGGGAAGAGGGCCUGCGCCCAUGGCCACAGCAGGACCCCUGGCGGGUGGAGGUGGCAUCACCUGGGAAGAGUCCAUAUCUGGCCAGAGGGCCUCCUGGGGAGGGGCCCGAGUCCCCUUCCACAGGAAUUCCGAGUUGCUCCACGGGGCAGGGAGGAGAGACGAGACCACCAAGGAGAGAGCUGGGGCCUCAGGGAACCGGGCAGGGGGACCGAGCCAGACCCCUGACCUCACUGCCCUGGGAACCAGUGCCCCCUCACGUCUCUGAACAAAGGGCAAAUCAGCAUCAAGGACGGGGAGGACACGGCUGCCCACGGGAAGCAGAGGCGGCCCCGACCCGCCUGCCAGGGCCCUGCACAGAGAGACGGCUCAAGGAAAGCCCACAGUGGGAGCUUGGGUAGCUUUUCUCCUUCUUGAAGUUUCUACAGCCCAUUGAUUGUCUUUACAGUUUCUUUUUCUAAAACAACAAUAAAAUACCUGGAAAAUUCCAUAACUGCCCAUGUUGACGCCUCGUGGAACCCACAGCCUGG
rnacentral:lncRNA from 1 species